rnacentral:ncRNA from 1 species
CGAAAUGCAUUGAUUGGACGAAGUAACGUUUUUCUCCCUUUUUCAGAGAGCUGGUGGUAGGUGUGAAUCAGCAUAAAGGAAAAUGUGAAUUACCUCCAUGAGCAUCUAAUGGGAAAGACUUAACGUCUGUGUAGCAUUAGACGGUUCAGGCCGUUAAUCUGACUGAGUGGGAGAAAGAUUGCUUUCUUCAACAAGGGUGGUACCGCGAUCAAACUCGUCCCUUUU